UGGGGAAUUUUGGACAAUGGGCGAAAGCCUGAUCCGGCAAUGCCGCGUGUGUGAAGAAGGCCUUCGGGUUGUAAAGCACUUUUGUCCGGAAAGAAAUCCUUGGCUCUAAUACAGUCGGGGGAUGACGGUACCGGAAGAAUAAGCACCGGCUAACUACGUGCCAGCAGCCGCGGUAAUACGUAGGGUGCAAGCGUUAAUCGGAAUUACUGGGCGUAAAGCGUGCGCAGGCGGUUUGCUAAGACCGAUGUGAAAUCCCCGGGCUCAACCUGGGAACUGCAUUGGUGACUGGCAGGCUAGAGUAUGGCAGAGGGGGGUUAGAAUUCCACGUGUAGCAGUGAAAUGCGUAGAGAUGUGGAGGAAUACCGAUGGCGAAGGCAGCCCCCUGGGCCAAUACUGACGCUCAUGCACGAAAGCGUGGGGGAGCAAAACAGGAUUAGAUACCCUGGUAGUCCACGCCCUAAAACGAUGUCAACUAGUUGUUGGGGAUUCAUUUCCUUAGUAACGUAGCUAACGCGUGAAGUUGACUGCCUGGGGAGUACGGUCGCAAGAUUAAAAACUCAAAUGAAUUGACGGGGUCAUAGCUGUUUCCU
rnacentral:rRNA from 1 species